rnacentral:rRNA from 1 species
UACAGAGACUGCAAGCGUUAUUCGGAUUCACUGGGCGUAAAGGGUGCGCAGGCGGCCAAGUGUGUUAGGCGUGAAAGCCCGGGGCUUAACCCCGGAAUUGCACCUAAAACUACAUGGCUAGAGCAUUGGAGAGGGUAGCAGAAUUCAUGGUGUAGCAGUGAAAUGCGUAGAUAUCAUGAGGAAUACCAGAGGCGAAGGCGGCUACCUGGACAAUUGCUGACGCUCAGGCACGAAAGCGUGGGGAGCAAACAGG